UCUCAUGUGCAUAGUACUCUCUACUUCACUCACUGAGUAUUUAUAUACUCACUCCCCAGUUUGGUAUUUUUGAUUGCAGGGCAGGUAUUGUAUAGAGAGGAGCAGGGUUAGAGAUUGCCUGCUAGCUGUGCCGCUCCAUAGUAUAGUAUAAUGUAGAUAGAGGUUUAACCCUUUUGGUGUAUAUAGUGUAUAGUUACAGUCAUAGAUCCU
rnacentral:lncRNA from 1 species